GGAUAGCUCAGUCGGUAGAGCAUGAGACAACUUAGUCUCAGGGUCGUGGGUUCGAGUCCCAUGUUGGGCA